rnacentral:tRNA from 1 species
GGCCCCGUAGCUCAACCGGAUAGAGCACCAGCCUUCUAAGCUGGGGGUUGCAGGUUCGAUUCCUGCCGGGGUCGCCACCCAC